rnacentral:lncRNA from 1 species
GUCUGGAGCUCUUAGAGACAAGAUAAACAGCGAUGUCUGGUUCUGCUCAGAGGAGGCUUUCUUAAGUGAGAGGCACAGUUGGAUCAGCAGACUCAGCUGAGUGUGACCUGCUCUGUUCCCUCCCUGCUGACCUGGGACAGUCGCUACCAGGCAGUGCUGGCCUCUGGGCGGGUGCCGAGGAGGGUCAUCCCUGAGCACUCACCAGGUGAGAUGUCUAGGGUCAGAGAGGCAGCGACUGGUCCAGAGACCCAGAUGUGACCCUGGGCCAUGCUCUUAGCCCUGCCCUGUGCUACGCUGGACUCAAGCCCUGACCUCUGUGGCCUCCCUGCCCUGGAUUCCAAAUCCAUCCGGGGUUCCAGCCCCUGAUGGGGCAGAGUCUGGCCCUGGAAGAGCCACUGGGACAGAGAUCCUAUGGGUGAGGUGGAGGGGGUGGUCCUCAGUCCAAGUCUGUGCCCUAAGCUGGGACCCCGCGGGAGGUCUCACCAACUCAGACUUCACAUGUGGUCACUGAGGGUCAUUGUGGGACCCACUGGACACAGGGGGUCCCUUGUCUGGGAGUGGGGUGAAGAGCCUUCUGCCCUUGGGCAGUUAGGUAGGGGACUUUGAGCACUGCUGCUUUGGGACCUGGGAAGUGGGGACCUGGGCAGCGGGGUCCUCGUCAUUGAGAACAUGGUCAGUGAGAGAUUUGGUCAUCAUGGGUUGGGUCAGGGGGGCCUGGUCAGCAGAGACUUGGACACUGGGGCUUAGUGAAAAUAUGAUCAGUGGGGAAAUAGUCACGGGGCCUGCUCAGUAGGGCCUGGCUAGCAGAGGCCUGGCCAGCUGGCCACUGGAUGACCUGACAGGGGGUUUGUCCUUGGAGCCUCUUUGCCUCUAUUCAUAGUGGGGAUGAGUCAUAGCAUCCCUCAGCACUCGCCAGGUGCAGGUUUUGUGCUGACCUUGUAGAUGGCCUUUUCCUUCAUCCCCACAGCAACUCCAUGGGGCGGAUCCUGUCCCCGAAUGUAGCCAUUCCACAGGUGAGAUGUCUAGAGUCAGAGAGGUGAUGACUGGCCCAGAGACCCAGAUGUGGCCUGGGCCGUGCACUCAGCCCUGCCCUGUGCAGUGCUAGACUCAAGCCCUGACCUUUGCAGCCUCCCUGCCUUAGAUCCCACAUUUCCCUGGGGUUCUGGACCCUGAUGGGGUGGAGGGGGUGAUUCUCAGUCCAAGUCUGUGCCCAAAGCUUGGUCCCCACAGGAGGAGGUCUCAUCAACUCAGACUUCAGGUGCGGUCACUGAUGGUUGCUGUGGGACCCACUGGACACAUGGAGUCCUUCGUCUGGGAGUGGGGUGGGGAGGCCUCUGCCCUCGGGCAGUUGUGGAAAAUGAAGGAGCUCUAGAGGGCUGCCUGGAGGGUGAUGAUCGUCCCUCUUGGUCAAAGGGGCUUGGGGACUGGAACCUUCUCUGUCUGAUUCUCUAGAGGUCUUGUCUUCCCUUUGUCCCAAGUAUUCCCAAGGAAGAUGGUCCCCCUGGGUGUUCUCCAGGACCAAGUCCCCAGAAUUCUCUUGUUUUUUCCUUGGUGAUCCAGGAAAACGAAGCCCCCUCCUGUAUUGACAGCUGGGAAUUGUGGAGUCCACCGUCCUCCACCUGAGACGAGCACAGGGUCUCCACGAGGACAGAGGCUGCUUUGGACUCAAUAGAAAACUGGGCAUCUUCAUGGUCCUAGAAGGAUCCCAGGAGGCUGAUCCUAUAGAGACGUCUGGUUCCUGACCCCAACUGCCUCCAGGUGCCUGGAACAGCCCAUCGUGGGCCCUUUACCCUCAGCAGGUGGACGCCGUUGGUCCUGCCAGGGAUGGAGAUGGAUGAGCACCCGGAUAUCCUGCCCACCCAGGGGCAAGGCAACAUCAUCAUUACUAAGUAUGAGCAGGGACGCUGAGCUGGGGCAGCAGUGGACACAGAGCAUGAGCGUGUUGACAUCUGGAAAUUCACCAGUCGUCUCUGGGUUGUGUGUGAGACAGAGCUGCCCGUGUCAGUGCCCUGGAGGUGAAGGGAAGAGCCUGUGCCUGCUGCGUGGGAGACUGGUCCAGGGACAGGGAAUCAGGAGUGGUUGGGCCCCAAAGCCCAGGACCCAGCAUCCAUGGGCCGCUGCCGGAGGCCUGGCAGCUCCGCUAACUCCAUCAUGGCUCAUUUGACAGCAAAGGUGUCAGGAAAUAAAAUGUACUGACAAGUGGCUGAAGAUGCUUGGAGACUGGCCAAAAUAUAAGAACAGCAAGAAGGUGACAUGGCGGUUGGGCCUGGUAGCUCAGGCCUGUAACCCCAGCACUUCGGGAGGCUGAGGUGGGCGGAUCACCUGAGGUCAGGAGUUCGAGACCAUCCUGGCCAACAUGGCGAAACCCCGUCUCUACUAAACAUGCAAAAAUUAGCUGGGCACGGUGGCGGGCACCUGUAAUCCCAGCUACUCAGGAGGCUGAGGCACGAGAAUUGCUUGAACCCAGGCAGUGGAGGUUGCAGUGAGCCAAGAUCGCACCACUGAACUCCAGCCUGGGCGACAAGAGGGAGACUUCAUCUCAAAAGGAAAAGAAGCUGUCUCGAAGCAGGUACAAAGGCAUUCCCCUGGUGUGAGGCCAGGCGUGGGCACUUCUGCUAGACAUUGACAAAGUCAAGUCCCAGAACCCAGGAAAUACAAGGAGGUGGGCUACCACAGGGACCUGAGCCGCAACACUGCCGUCCUCCUUUAUCUGCCGGAGGAAGAUGCUUUCUGGGUGGCUGGCUCAGCUGCUGGCCGGUGAGAGGCACUCCCUGCAGGCCCAAAUACUGCCCAGCUCCGGAAGCUCCUAUCACAUCAGGAGCAGGUGCUGCACAAGUCCUUCCCAAAGAUCAUGAGACAGCUGGGCAAGGAAGGGCUAUGCAUUGAGGGUUCCAUGCUGACGAGGCUCCUCCAGUGUUUCCUUGAUGGGCCACCUCACUGCUGAGAUGAGUCCCCCAUGAGGAGCUGCAGGACCUUGUCUGACCGCAGCCUCAUGGAGGGGUCUCAUCCCAUGGAAAGGGGUCCUCAGCACUCCAGAGGACUGAAACCCCAAUGGGUCCUGCUCAGGCCACCAGCCCCAGCCUGGAAAGGCCAGGUCCUCCCACACCUGCUGUCCCCAAAGAAAUCCUUCGGGCUCACCCUGCGACUGUGGGAUGUGCUUAUCUUGGAGGGCGAGCAGGUACUGACAGCCAUGGCGCAUGCAUCAUUCAAAAUACACAGGGAGCACCUCAUGAAGCUUUCCUGGAGCACCGUCUGGGAGUUUCAGGAGCGACUCUCUCAGAGCUGGGCCCUGGAGGACAACUCGGUCCUCAGGAACCUUCAAACCUCUAUGAAGGAACUCACAAAAAAACACUGGGACCUGCCAUCCCCAGGAGAACUCGAGAGAGGGUCCUCGAGGGUGUCUCCUGGCAUUAGGCCCCUCUGUGAGGGGGACAGAUUGGCCCUGCCCAGCCCACCAGCUCAGCUCCAGGGGCUCAUGCCAUCAGCCCCCCAGGACAAAAGCCUUGUCCUCCCCCAGCCUGGCCUGACAGGGUUGUCUCCAUGGCGGAGGCCAAGGCCCAGCAGCACGAAGGGGCUUCCCCAGAACCCAGGGCAGCAGGCUGCUCUCUGGGUGGCCCAGAGGAUCAAGAUGUGGCCACCCUGUUUCCCGGUGAGGUCAGGCCUCGUAUUACAUAAAAAUACCUGUGCUGGGACUCUAUGCCACACCUCCACACAGACCUGGAUGCUGGGAUCCAUGGUUUCCUUACUACAAUUUUGAACAGGGCUACUGGGCCCCUGUCACUUCAACAUGUUACCUGGACAGCCCUGCAACCACACGACGGGCCUGGCCCAGCAAGCCCACUGGGACCCCGACACCAGGCCCUGCCCAGGCUUAUGACAGAGGAGGCAGGUCAGGAGACACCCCAGCAACAAGGCAGCACCUGCCUGCGAUGCCCCUCAGUAGAAGAACGUGGCAUGGAAGGAGCCCAGGUGGCACACGCCCAGCUGCGUCGCAGCCCCAGAUGGCUGCUGGACCUUGGUUCUGGGCCUUGGAAAAUCCCAUUCAGCGGGGCUUGGUCCCAUCAAGGCCUCUGGAGGGAAGGCUAAGCAUAGGGUUCCUGCAGCCCCAGCCAGCCAGCCAGCCAGCAGCAUGCCCUGGGGCCUCUGACCCCACCUGUGAGUCCCAGGCCCAGAGGUCCCUGGCUUCAACUCGAGUCCUAGGAAGAGAGAGGCACCAGAGGCACCACAGGCUCCCAGGGUGACCACAGAGGGGACCAGGGCACUGUGAGCCCUGAUGCUGUAAGGAUUCACAUCAGAGAACCUGGGCAAGACGGGAGACCGUGCAGUAAUGAGGAUGUGGAGGGCUGGCUCAAUGCGGCCAACAGCUGUGAACACUGCUGCCUCUUCCCAGCCUCAUCACUGCAGUGCAGGCAGUCUGAUCUCUGGAGCCCAGCCCAAAAGUGUCCUGAGUGCCCCGGCUUCACAUGCCAAUAUGCCACCUGGAGGCUUCAAGGCCCUGCCUGCUGCACGCCCGCCUCACCAUUGCUGAGCACCCCAUCUGAUGAUGAGAGACUUGCUGUGGAUUCCUGGGCCGGCACCAUUUCCCAGGAGGACCAGCGGGCUGCCUGUGGGCAGGCCGCCCACACUGUGGAGGGGGCUGAGAUCAGCCUUCACUGUAGGAAGCCCCUACCUGGACACAGACUUGCCGGCUCUACCUAUCGCCAUCAUGGCAGCCUACAUGGCAUUACUUGUGACCAGGGUGCCCCAUCCAGGUCGGUCUGCCCUGGCUGCUGUUUUCCCUCCUGCCACCCUCUCUUUGACUGCUUGUGUCAAUAAAAGGAGAACUGGCCAGUUUUCAG